UGCUUCUUAAAACCUGAGUAGGACACUGCAGGGGUUUCUUUUCUCCUCAGCCAGGGCUGAAGGCCAAGAUCAACCUUGAGGAUUAUUGCCAGGGCUACCAUGAGCUGGGCAGCUUUGUUUUCCUACCUCACACAUUU